GGUGUCGCUCCGGCCGUUAUGGCCGCGGCCGCCGCCUAUCGUCAUUUUUAUUUGUAACAAAACAUGAAAUCAUCAUAGAAAGCUAAUCACCUCAUGGAGCCCAUGAAGAAAGGAGCCAACAGAUGCUCAGACAUUUUUCAUUGUUCUUCCAUUUCCUUGUCUUUCGUCUAAGGGUGCAUUUUGUAUGUACAUAGCCUUCAUUAGGCAGUACAUGAAUGUCAGAGCGGAAUACAAAUGAGCGCAUUUGAGACAAUAAGUGACGCAGUGGCUUAGGCUAUAAAUUCCUGGAAAUGUCGGACACAAUCGCAUUCACGAAUUGGAGAAACCAGUUCGAAAAUUGGUAUAAAACGGAGAAGGAAGGACUGCAAUCAGCAUUCGAUCCAAAAUUAUUUCAGUGUGAACACCCUCCUGCUAACAGAUCCAGACAUGAAGGCGGUCUUUGUUCUCGCGUGUGUGCUGGUGGCAGUCGCCGCUGAGCCUUUUGGGCUUCAUGGAGGACUUGGACUGGCCGCUGGAGGCGCGGGCUCUAGCGGAUUCCAGAGCCAGGGGAGUGGCCUCUUUGGUUCUGGUGGUCACCAGGGAGCUCGCAGCCACGCCGGGGGUUUCGCUGGCCUGGGCGGCGCCUCUCUGAACUCGGGAGGCAGUCACCUGGCACAGGGCACCGGCCUCUUCGGAGGCCGUCAGGUCGCCAAUACCGGCGCCCUCAGCCACCAGUUCGGACGCUAGAGGUCGUCAGGUCAUCAGAUUGGACUUCUGAGGGCGUCAGUUCACCACCAACGGCGUUUUCGGUCAUCAGUUGAAACGCUAACGCGGUGAUUUUAUAGAUGGAUUUCAGCUAGAUGCGUAUCGGUCUUCGAUACAGGCGCUACAUUUUGUUUUCGAAAUGUUUUAUGGGUUGCAACAGAAUGGCAUUUGCAUGUGGCGCUAGUUUUGUGAAACAAUAAAUUGGCACCAGCUGAGAUACGGAA